ACGGAAGGCAGCAGUGGGGAAUAUUGCACAAUGGGCGAAAGCCUGAUGCAGCGACGCCGCGUGAGUGAAGAAGUAUCUCGGUAUGUAAAGCUCUAUCAGCAGGGAAGAAAAUGACGGUACCUGACUAAGAAGCCCCGGCUAACUACGUGCCAGCAGCCGCGGUAAUACGUAGGGGGCAAGCGUUAUCCGGAUUUACUGGGUGUAAAGGGAGCGUAGACGGUUUGGCAAGUCUGAAGUGAAAUGCGGGGGCUCAACUCCUGAACUGCUUUGGAAACUGUCGAACUAGAGUGCAGGAGAGGUAAGUGGAAUUCCUAGUGUAGCGGUGAAAUGCGUAGAUAUUAGGAGGAACACCAGUGGCGAAGGCGGCUUACUGGACUGUAACUGACGUUGAGGCUCGAAAGCGUGGGGGGCAAACAGGAUUAGAUACCCUGGUA
rnacentral:rRNA from 1 species